rnacentral:rRNA from 1 species
UGGUGAAGUGAUUUGUCUGCUUAAUUGCGUUAACGAACGAGAUCUCUGCCUCUUAAUAGGUGGCGGCGACGCCUCUAAGCAGCUAUGGGGUUGGGUGAAGGCUUCACGGCUGGAUCCCGCCUUUUGCUGUGAGUCUGCCGUGAAACUUCUUAGAGGGACUGUGUACGUUCCAGUACACGGAAGGUAGAGCCAAUAGCA